AAUCAACGCUGGCGGCGUGCCUAACACAUGCAAGUCGAACGGGCGUAGCAAUACGUCAGUGGCAGACGGGUGAGUAACGCGUGGGAACGUACCUUUUGGUUCGGAACAACCCAGGGAAACUUGGGCUAAUACCGGAUAAGCCCUUACGGGGAAAGAUUUAUCGCCGAAAGAUCGGCCCGCGUCUGAUUAGCUAGUUGGUGAGGUAACGGCUCACCAAGGCGACGAUCAGUAGCUGGUCUGAGAGGAUGAUCAGCCACAUUGGGACUGAGACACGGCCCAAACUCCUACGGGAGGCAGCAGUGGGGAAUAUUGGACAAUGGGCGCAAGCCUGAUCCAGCCAUGCCGCGUGAGUGAUGAAGGCCCUAGGGUUGUAAAGCUUCUUUUGUGCGGGAAGAUAAUGACGGUACCGCAAGAAUAA
rnacentral:rRNA from 1 species